rnacentral:lncRNA from 1 species
GCAAUAAAAUGUAUUGGUACAAUUGUAUGCAACACAAGUAUUAUGAGUACAGAAUAAAAUUUAAACUCAGUGUUGAAAGCAAUUAUGAUGUAGAACAUGAACUUAUUAACCAAAAAGUAGUUGGUGUUUAAUGACUAAAUUGAGAGUAUUGGGACAGUUCCUGUGUGUUAUUUGUCAACAAAAACAGCAGCCAUGGGUAAAUAUAAGGGCUUGUUAUAAUUAAAAUGCGUGUUUGUUAACUUUUUUUUCUCAAUACACGGUCAUAAAUCAAACAAGUUCGUGCUUGUGUCAAUUUCUUUAAUCCAGUCAUGUUUUUUGUCCAAUUUGUUCUAUCAUUCUUUCGCUUUGGAUAUCAUUCACAGUCCAAAUUUCCUGACACAACUCAUUGUAUGAAUAAAGAAAAAAACACGGUUUUCGAUUCACUUAAUGUGACUACCGCAAUUUGCGUUCAAGGACAAGGCGUUUUACUCGUAACUCGAAUAUUUAAUGCCCUUCUCGUUAUCAAUCUCUAUUCUCGGUAGAUGAUGUUGUCAUCAUAGAGCAGCAGAAUAUGUCGACUUAAUAAUUUUCGUUAGAUUACUCAAAGAAAUACAAAAACGAAAUUGAAACAGGAAGUUUUGAAUGAAACGAAAUUAUUGAUGGUUCCCGGUAACGGACAUGAUCAAAAUCCGGAACUCGUAUUUUUGUUAAAUAAAAAAAAUCGGCACGGGACGAUUUCAGAGGGGCGGGCGGGGAUGAAAAUCUAGCAAUUAAUUUUAAUUGGCCUUAUGUACUGGUAUUAGAAAGGGUUAAUAUUCUAUUGCAUUUAUUGUCAAACACAAUCUGCCAGUGUUCUCUUCAGGGCCUUUAAGCACUAUGGUACCCUGGUGCUAUUUUGGAGGAUUCUAUAAUGAAAUGUAAAGGGGUGAGGGUGCUAUAUUUUUUGGAAAACCAUGGCUAUAAUGUUAAUUUCCAUGGUGCUAUAUUAAUAUUCUGGGAGAGAACAUUGCAUCUUGUAUGGGGUAUAGUUAUAUAUUUCAUUUAUUUUCAGUAUAAUAUAUCUUACAAAUUAGUUGAAAUUACUGUAUGAUUAAUACUAUAUAUAUAUAUAUAUAUAUAUGUAUAUGAAGGUAAAUGGCCUCUUAAAUUAGAUACAAUAAACUGUUCUUAUUCUCAUAUUAUUAGUGUUAUACUAAUGGAUGUUAAGCAGUCAUUAAUCAAUCAAUUUCUUGUUUGUUAUAACCAAUAUAACAUCACCCGUAUAUAGUAUUCAACGGCCUUGGAUUAAUAGACUUCUGACUUUUGGGGAGAUUUAGAGAUUGACAAGGAG